UACGUAGGGACCAAGCGUUGUCCGGAAUCAUUGGGCGUAAAGCGCGCGUAGGCGGCCCGGUAAGUCCGCUGUGAAAGUCCAGGGCUCAACCCUGGAAAGCCGGUGGAUACUGCCGGGCUAGAGUCCGGAAGAGGCGAGUGGAAUUCCUGGUGUAGCGGUGGAAUGCGCAGAUAUCAGGAGGAACACCAAUAGCGAAGGCAGCUCGCUGGGACGGUACUGACGCUGAGGUGCGAAAGCGUGGGGAGCAAACAGG
rnacentral:rRNA from 1 species